AGUGAACGCUGGCGGUAGGCCUAACACAUGCAAGUCGAACGGCAGCACAGCAAGAGCUUGCUCUUACGGGUGGCGAGUGGCGGACGGGUGAGGAAUACAUCGGAAUCUACUUUUUCGUGGGGGAUAACGUAGGGAAACUUACGCUAAUACCGCAUACGACCUACGGGUGAAAGCAGGGGAUCUUCGGACCUUGCGCGAUUGAAUGAGCCGAUGUCGGAUUAGCUAGUUGGCGGGGUAAAGGCCCACCAAGGCGACGAUCCGUAGCUGGUCUGAGAGGAUGAUCAGCCACACUGGAACUGAGACACGGUCCAGACUCCUACGGGAGGCAGCAGUGGGGAAUAUUGGACAAUGGGUGCAAGCCUGAUCCAGCCAUACCGCGUGGGUGAAGAAGGCCUUCGGGUUGUAAAGCCCUUUUGUUGGGAAAGAAAAGCAGCAGGUUAAUACCCCGCUGUUCUGACGGUACCCAAAGAAUAAGCACCGGCUAACUUCGUG
rnacentral:rRNA from 1 species